CCUACGGGAGGCUGCAGUGGGGAAUAUUGGACAAUGGGCGAAAGCCUGAUCCAGCCAUGCCGCGUGUGUGAAGAAGGCCUUCGGGUUGUAAAGCACUUUCAGUGGGGAAGAAAGCCUUGGGGCUAAUACCCUCGAGGAAGGACAUCACCCACAGAAGAAGCACCGGCUAACUCCGUGCCAGCAGCCGCGGUAAUACGGAGGGUGCGAGCGUUAAUCGGAAUUACUGGGCGUAAAGCGCGCGUAGGCGGUCUGAUAAGCCGGUUGUGAAAGCCCCGGGCUCAACCUGGGAACGGCAUCCGGAACUGUCAGGCUAGAGUGCAGGAGAGGAAGGUAGAAUUCCCGGUGUAGCGGUGAAAUGCGUAGAGAUCGGGAGGAAUACCAGUGGCGAAGGCGGCCUUCUGGACUGACACUGACGCUGUGGUGCGAAAGCGUGGGUAGCAAACAGGAUUAGAUACCCCGGUAGUC
rnacentral:rRNA from 1 species